CUCCUAAGGUUUGUGGCCGGAGCCGAAAAUGGUUUGUAUUUUGAUUGUGUAUAUUCUUCAUGAUCAGAUUUCUAAUAUUUAUAGCCCGACAACCUAGUCAUAUGUCCUAAUAUUACACGACUACUCAAAAAAGUAAUCCGGACUCCAAUUCCCUCUUUGUAAUGAAACCCGACAUGUCUUCUUGCGUCUUGCCUUGAUUCGACAUUCCCUGAUCGACUAUUUCCAUCCAGGCUUCUGUUUAGUCGAUCCACUAUCCAGCAGUUCCUACUUUCCACGAAGCAGGCCCACAGGUAAUUCCUUGUCUCGCCAAAAUUUGGGAUUAACAGUCAGCCAAUCUUCAUCGGCAUGUGCGAUAAAUCAUUCUUAGCAUACUUUGCUUGUAAACAUUGCCCUCCUUCACUAGGUAAGCAUGAUAGAUAUUUUUUCCUAUGCAAGACCUAGAGAAUAUGAGAUAUGCCCAA
rnacentral:lncRNA from 1 species